rnacentral:misc_RNA from 1 species
UCCCCGUUAUCCUGGGCAGUCCUUCCAGAGUUCCCGGCAUGACCCGUUGGCAACUGGAAGCAGGGGUUGCGCUCGUUGCGCCACUUAAGGCAACACCUCACGGCACGAGCUGACGACAGCCAUGCACCACCUGUGCAGGCUCCGUAGAGCACCCGCUUUCACGGGUUUCACCCUGCAUGUCAAGCCCAGGUAAGGUUCUUCGCGUCGCAUCGAAUUAAGCCGCAUGCUCCGCCGCUUGUGCGGACCCCCGUCAAUUCCUUUGAGUUUUAGCCUUGCGGCCGUACUCCCCAGGCGGGGCACUUAAUGCGUUAGCUACGGUACUGAGAGAUCGCUUCCCCAACACCCAGUUGCCAUCGUUUAGGGCGUGGACUAC